rnacentral:pre_miRNA from 1 species
UGGAUAGAUUAUUAUAUUCGAAUGUAUUUUCACGGCGUGAAACGGGAAAUUACACUAUUUUUAAACGGAUCGUGAAUCAAUUAACAUAAUAGACUCCU